GACGAACGCUGGCGGCGUGCUUAACACAUGCAAGUCGAACGAUGAAGCCUAGCUUGCUAGGUGGAUUAGUGGCGAACGGGUGAGUAAUACGCGAGUGACCUACCUUUGACUCUGGGAUAAGCCUGGGAAACUGGGUCUAAUACCGGAUACGACCAAUCUCCGCAUGGGGUGUUGGUGGAAAGCGUUAUGGAGUGGUUUUAGAUGAGCUCACGGCCUAUCAGCUUGUUGGUGAGGUAAUGGCUUACCAAGGCGACGACGGGUAGCCGGCCUGAGAGGGUGACCGGCCACACUGGGACUGAGACACGGCCCACACUCCUACGGGAUUUAUUAUUGGGGAAUAUUGCACAAUGGGCUCAAGUGGGGGGGGGGGGCGCCCCCCGACGGAUGACGGCCUUCGGGUUGUAAACCUCUGUUAUCCUCGAAGAAUCGAAUGUGACCGUAUGUGCCUAGAAUGCGGCCGCUAACUACCUGCCACCAUCCGCGGUAAAACGUAGGGGCCGAGCGUUGUCCGGAAUUAUUGGGACGUAAGAGUUUGUGGCGGUUGGUCGCGUCUGCUGUGAAGGCUGGGGCUUAUUCCUGGUUUUGCAGUGGGUACGGGCUAACUAGAGUGCAGUAGGGGAGACUGGAAUUCCUGGUGUAGCGGUGGAAUGCGCAGAUAUCAGGAGGAACACCGAUGGCGAAGGCAGGUCUCUGGGCUGUAACUGACGCUGAGAAGCGAAAGCAUGGGGAGCGAACAGGAUUAGAUACCCUGGUAGUCCAUGCCGUAAACGUUGGGCACUAGGUGUGGGGGACAUUCCACGUUUUCCGCGCCGUAGCUAACGCAUUAAGUGCCCCGCCUGGGGAGUACGGCCGCAAGGCUAAAACUCAAAGAAAUUGACGGGGGCCCGCACAAGCGGCGGAGCAUGCGGAUUAAUUCGAUGCAACGCGAAGAACCUUACCAAGGCUUGACAUAUACUGGACUGCGUCAGAGAUGGCGUUUCCCUUCGGGGCUGGUAUACAGGUGGUGCAUGGUUGUCGUCAGCUCGUGUCGUGAGAUGUUGGGUUAAGUCCCGCAACGAGCGCAACCCUCGUUCUAUGUUGCCAGCACGUGAUGGUGGGGACUCAUAGGAGACUGCCGGGGUCAACUCGGAGGAAGGUGGGGAUGACGUCAAAUCAUCAUGCCCCUUAUGUCUUGGGCUUCACGCAUGCUACAAUGGCCGGUACAGAGGGUUGCGAUACUGUGAGGUGGAGCUAAUCCCUAAAAGCCGGUCUCAGUUCGGAUUGGGGUCUGCAACUCGACCCCAUGAAGUCGGAGUCGCUAGUAAUCGCAGAUCAGCAACGCUGCGGUGAAUACGUUCCCGGGCCU
rnacentral:rRNA from 1 species